rnacentral:lncRNA from 1 species
AACUUCGCCGGGGAAAGAGGAAGCGACUAGAGACUAGCAGGCAGAGCGGACCGACCGGGAGACCGAAAGGACUGUGCGUGUGUCCGCACGCGAGCGAGGCCGUCUCACCUUCCCUCCGCCGAGCCCUCGGCUCCAGUCACCUGAGGACCGCACCGGGACGCCACCGCGGCUGCCCGGAUGCCGUUACCGCACGAGGCCUGUGCUGCGCCGCCGCGUAGCUCUCGGAGAGGGGCGGGGCGCGCGCAACCGGUGGGCGGACCGUUGCGGGCAGGAAACCCGCUCCACGCCCAAUCUAAUAGGCUCCAUCGCCUCCUGCGCCCGCCCCUGACGCUUCAGCGGAAUGCGCCGCUCCGGGAUUGGGCGAGCGGGCUUGUCAAUCAAGCGCGGGCCCUGAGUGGUCCCUGAGCUGAGACUGCGCGGCCUUUGGACAGAAGGUGAGGAGCGCCGGGCCCCACCGCCCUGUUCUCCCCUAGCCUCCUCGGUGGCUGCUUACUUUCCGCCUCUCCCACUGCUACUAAAACCUGUCAUUCAUUUUAAAUCGCUCAUUAAUGUCGAACAGCGGUCCCGAGUUCAACCCAGACUACUCUGGUGCCUGCAUCUGAAAGGGCCGACCAGCUGCAGAUCUUAGGGACAGGGAGCGACAAAGAAAAUGAAGCCUCGGGGGAAAAAUGUAAGAUGUUUGUUAAUGAAAACCACAACCAAAAUAAGCUUUGCGAGCAACUUCCGAGUGCCCUGGCGCGUGGGUAGCCUUCAUUCCCGGCUUCCAGUCCUGUGAAAAGGACAGUUACUUCUGCCCUAGGGGUGAGUAUGGCAGUGGCACAGUCCCAGCCACCUGCCAAGGAAGGCAUCAAUAAAUCGGCUCUCCUUCCUAACUUGCCUUACAGCGACUCAUAACCUGCCUCACUAUUUCCCAAUCACCUUUGUUGCUUAGUGUGGGUGUGGCACCUAAAAGAAACAUUCUAGGUUAGGUAAUUUUAUGGAAACACGAGUUUUUGCCUCCAGCGUAGCUGCACCCAUAUACCUAGAUUGCAAAGUCUAUUAAAAGAACUGUUUCACCCACGCCCACCUCGUGCCUAGCACAUCAUCCUCAACAAUCGAGGAAUUAAUACAGCUUCCUUUCAUCUUUUAAAAAUUCAUUUUUAUUCUUUGUGUGUUCGAGUGUUUGGUGUACUUGUGUUAUACUUGUGUAUAAUUUUGCUGCCCAUGGAGGUCAAAUGAGGGUAUAGGAUCUUCUGGAACUGGAGUUACAGAUGGUUUUGAACCACCCUGUGGGUGCUGGGAAUCAAACUCAGGCCCCUUGGAAGACCAGCGCUCUUAAUCACUGAAUCUCAGCCCCUUCCUUUAGCUAUACUACAAGCCCUACCUGUAAAUCCUAAAAAGUUGUUUUCUGCUUUUAACUUAAUUGCAUGUUAAUAAAUACAUGGGUGGCCUGCCCUAGGUAAAAUACAAGUUACCUGUAGCCCCUUUUAAUCCUGAGUUUAGUUGAGAAAAGUAGAACAUAAAACUGGGGAAAGGAUACUCUGCCUAUUGUUAGUAUCAAAAGUAAGUAAUGCAAAUUAUAUAUUUAAAAACAUACAUACCGAAGAGAAGGGGGUGAUGCAUGCAGAAGCAGGUGGAUCGAGGCCAGCCUGGUCUACAGAUUGAGUGUGAGUUCCAGGACAGCCAGGGCUACCCAGAGAAACCCUGUCUCAAAAAACAAAAAGACAAAUAUAUAUAUAUAUAUAUAUAUAUGCAGAGACAGGUUCAAGUUCUGCAAGUUCAAGGCCACCCUGGUUUAUGUAGCAAAUCCUAGGACAGUCAAGGCUACAUAGAGAGAUGCUAUCUCAAAAGCAAAAACAUACAGGCAGCUGACCCCCAUUAACUCCAAAGGAGGAUAUUUGGGGUAAUAAAGGAAAUAAGAAUCCUCCAUAUCUUAAGACCUUUCCCAGUAAGCUAUUGACAGCUUAUAUAGUUAGAAUGACCUAGUUUAGUGUCCCUAUCAUACAGUAAUGUUUAGGAGGAAGAAAAUCCUACCUAUCUGCUAUCAAGAAGUUAUCACAGACUUGAUAUUGAAGUGUAAACAUUAGUGGGCCCUACUAAAUAAACUUAACUUCUGGAUUUAGUAUAGUUAUGCUGUUAUAGGAAAGAGUCUACCUUGUAUGGAAGGUGCUAAAAUAGGCACUGCAGAUCUUGAGUCCACACCAGUGUCAGAUAUUGAGAUUUAAACCAACCUGUAUUAUUUCUGUGCUAACCAUAUCAACAGUUGUAUGUAGGGACAGAUGGGCAUUAAGCCACAAUGAGAGGGAAAUGUGUAGUAAGACUAUUUGAGCAAAAAGAAGGGCUUGGGAGGGAGUUACCAAGUCUAAAGACAUUAAGCAAUUAUAGUAAUGUUGAUGGAGCAGACAGUGGCUAGAUUUGAAGCAAUGUGUUAGGAAAGCUGAGGUCCUUAGAGUUUAUCCUACAAGAAAUGAGAAAGAGUUGUUUCACUAAAGAGUUGUUUUUCAGUACUUUUUCAGUAGAUCAUUCUGAUGUUUUCUAGCUCUUGUUUCUACUGAGAAGCAAGUAGCAAU